rnacentral:rRNA from 1 species
UACGGAGGGUGCGAGCGUUGUUCGGAAUCACUGGGCCUAAAGCGCGUGUAGGCGGCCUGCUAAGUCUGAUGUGAAAGCCCGAGGCUCACCCUCGGAAGUGCAUUGGAAACUGGCAGACUGGAGUCCCGGAGAGGAGGGUGGAAUUCCUGGUGUAGCGGUGAAAUGCGCAGAUAUCAGGAAGAACACCAAUGGCGAAGGCAGCUCUCUGGGACGGUACUGACGCUGAGACGCGAAAGCGUGGGGAGCGAACAGG